AAGGGCAGCAAGCUUAGCCAAAUAACCGCUCGCUCUCAGAUGGCGGAAGCCAGCGCUGUCUCGGGGCACGGCUCAAGUGGCUUUCCACACUGAAGGAGCUCAGGCAGAGACUGGGUGAGGUGCCGUGGUCCAUUACUCUCUGCAUGAGUUGCUCUGAAGUACUCUGGGCCUUGUUGAAAUCUGGGUGUGAGCACCUGGUCCCCAGCUGAGGGCACUAUUUGGGGACGAUGUGGAGCAUGUGGAGCGGUGGUCUAGCUAACAGACACCAGUCACUGCAGCAGGCCUUGAAGGGGACAUCUGGUUGUAGCCUGAGCUCUCUGCUUCCUGAUCUGUCAGGAUGUGAACAAGCCCUGCCAUAAGCUCCCGUCACUGUGGUUCCAGCCACCACAGCCUCUGUGCCUGUCCCCAGCCCAGCAUGGAUUGAUAGUCUCUGAAAUGUGACUCAGAAUAAAUCUUCCCUCUCUUGUA